UGAUCUUCAAUUUCUCCUCCUAAAGAAAA
rnacentral:piRNA from 1 species